CUUCAGCUGUCGCUGCGUGUGCGUGCGCGCUGCAUUGACGCCGGCCGAUGUGGUUGUUUAAUCCGCUGUACACUGUGCCGAAAAAAAAUGUGGUGCAUUUUGUGUGCACUGAGGAUGACAACACCCUUUGGACCGCCUCAUGAAAAGCCUUUGGUACUCUCGCAUCGGAUCACAGUGCACGGAAGAAUUUGUUGAAAGUUGUGCUAUCACGUGCUGUAGUUAAUCCGCAAUUCAACAGUGUUUACGCCGGAAGGACCGUCGGCGCGACACGAAGGAACGUUUGCUGAGUACGCCUAGAAAGGCAUGCGGGCACCAGCGGGAAGCAAAGCGGGCACUAGUCUUGCGCGGCCUCUCUCGUUGCGCUGAGUUACCAGAACGCUGCCCGCGCCUUUCCACAGAGCGCUGACAGCGCUUCGUUCUCUCACCUAGCCUAUCUUCCACCGUGGCCAAAGGCACCUCUACACAACAUACCUGUGGCAUGUCUGCAGCCUAAACAGCACUGCAAUGCAUCUGAUCUGCAAGCUGCGACAAGCAAACACCAACAAAAGCAAUGCUGCGAGUGACCAGGAAAAAAGCUGUUUAUGACAGCUUGAGGAGACCUGGCCACCACAACACUGUGCAGCUCAUGGACAAUUGGUAUAGCUGGGCCUGGAGAACAAGUGUAAGCAGACCAUGCUAUGUUGCUGAUCGGCGCCGAUCUCCACAUCCAAGUCGAUCCCGCAACAGCUAGGCACCACUGUACCUUGCUUCAUUGACAAGGUGAUAUAAUAUGGUGCCCUGCAAGCUCUCACCCAAGCAACACAAUCCAACGGUCUUCUCUCAGCAGACUCGGUGCAUCGAAGUACCAUUAGAAGGUCCAAUAAACAGUGCUUGGGAGAUGUGUGACAUGCAUUGGCUUGAACAAGAGGACUUCAGGAUUAAUGAAAGCUGAAGUGGGUGUACAGAAAAACCUAUGUAAAGUAUACUUCUCUUUCAUUAACAAGUGCAAGUCAUUACUUCGCCUGACGUUUUCCACCUCAAUAUUACACUUUACUUUAGAUUUGUGAACAAACCAUUACAGCAACACAACACUGCAGUAAGAUCAGUACAAGUGAUCAGACAGGUAGUACACUUGCAAGAAUUACAUUCACAUACUUGUACUAAAUAUGAAAAUGCGGUACCAAUCACUUUCAGGGUGCAUUUUCCCAUAAGUCAUACAUGGUGAAUGUGCUCAUAGGUCAUACAAAACUUGUUCAUGAUGUGUCAUCGGUGUUGGUAGUGCUAAUCAAUUUAUGCGGAAAAUUGUGUUCAUCUUUGUAUCAAGCAAUGUACCAGGCAAACCUAUAUGUGACAGUGGCAUACUUGGAGCAAACAUAAUGCAGACCUACUUGUCUUAAUGCUGAUUGCAAAUACACAAGUGUACCAAAUAGGUUUAAAGAGUAAAUUAUAUUAAGCGACAUAAAACCAUUCUGAAAUAACCUGGUUUGAAUGGGGCAAUAAAGAAAUUUAGACAGGGGUAAACAGGACAGGCAUAAACAGAAUCAAGCAGGACUGUAUUAAACAGGGCAGGACUGAACAGAAAUAGACGGGAUCAAAUGGGUCUAGACUAAAUGGGUUCAAAUGGGACUGAGCUAAACGGGUUCAAAUGGAAACAAACUGGACCUGGUAUGAACGGGUCCCGUUGUGUAAUCCUAUUUGAUGAGACCUGUUUGAAAACAAAUAAAUUUUAUUAAUAGGGUAAAUAUGACUUUUGCAGUAAAUUAUGCAUGCAGGCAAUCCAGAGAUUAUGAAUGUGUUUUGUGAACAAAGCUGAAUUUAUCCCGCUGCCCUGCAAGAAUGGUGAACUCAGCCGAUAUCAAAUCUAGUGAAACGUGUGCGAGGGAGGGAGGACACAAUGUUAAAUGUUCUGGCAAAGUAACGUGUGUUGAUGAAUUGACGACUUUUUCAAGGUUCCGAACAAGUGCUCCAAAGCUUUGCACGCAGGCAAGGUUUCAAACAUACAGCUUGUUAAAGUAUGAGAUGUAACUUCAAGAAACUGAAACAUUUAUUGCAACUGCUCGGAAAGAAUUGUAUUGUAAUUCUUCAAAGUCGCACACAUCUGCUGUCUUUUUUUGUUUUUCUUACGAAUAUUGUAAGUCAUUUAUGUUGAUUGUACUUGGUUGUGUAUAACCUCAACAGUACUAUCACCUUAACUACCAAUACAUUUCUGCUAUAGACUUAAACAGCAAGUACAAUUCUUUAUAUAUAAUUAUUGAAUUUAUUUGUAGCCAGUGUGCAUAUAUUCUGUGCACUGUACUGCUCCUACUGGGUGGGGUGAGGGAUUUCUGUCGGGCACUGAUUGCCUUUUAUUCCUGCAUCACUUUGAGAUUUUAUAUAGCUUCAAGAAACAAAUACACAUUCGGAUACCUCUUUGGGCCCCCAUGGUUCCCCAUGUGCGCUUGAUAGAUAUCAGUAUGAUAAUUAUAAAAUAACUGACAGAUGUAUUUCCAGGCUCUUUCACUUAUUGUAAUAGUAAUUUUCAAUCUGUGUGUGUGUGUGUGUGUGUGUGUGUGUGUGUGUGUGUGUGUGUGUGUGUGUGUGUGUGUGUGUGUGUGUGUGUGUGUGUGUGUGUGUAGAGAGAGAGAGAGGGUCGGUCAUCAGCUCCUUUGCAGUUUGCCCCCACCACUGAAGAAAUAGUAGUACGCCUCUAGGUAUGCUUGACUGUAAGGUAUGGCAGACUGUAUAGUAUACUUGUGCUAGCUUUAGUGGCCUCCUUUCUACAACUGCAGUAGGAUAUAAUUACCUGCUGUGGCCAUUGUAGUGGCCUGCUUUCUUUCUGCAUGGUAUAGUUAUUUAUGGCAACUGUAGUGUCUGUUUUCUCUUUGCACUAAAUGUUACAGCAACUGUAUGUGGUCUAUAUUGCCAUGUGGUAGUGACUCUCAAGAACACAGUAGCAAAACUGUGAAUGGCAGAACUAACUGUUUAUUGGGCGAACCUGUGCCCAGUAAAGCAGGCUACACUGAGCACAAUGAUAGCGAUGAACACAGUCGACAAUCGUCGAAAAUCUGACUUGCCGGUGAAGCGCGUUGGCUUUUUACAUGAGUCAUCGAAGGUUCUAGACUAAUUGCUGGUACUUGCGUGUCUUCCAGAAAGUACAACACAAUUCACAUUGUGCAUACAAUCAGAUUACACAAGCUUUAGUGACAACAGACAACGCAUAGAACCAUCGAUAACAUUCCAGUAAGUUCCAAUUCUGUAGGCGCGUUUUGCGCCGAAUGAUAAGUUUUAAGUUGUUAGUGAAAUUGAGUCCCUGAAGAAAAAAUAAAUAAGUACAUGUGUCAAUUCCCCUGCAUUGUCCUGAUGCUACAAAUACGAAAGCAAAAACAAAACCAUGCAUAUUAAAGAAAGAACAACAAAGAAACAAAGUAAGUUCAUCAGCGGGCACAGAAAAGCUCAAGACACCACGUGGACGACUUAAGGUCAUGCGCAGUGCCGCUGUGAUUGCGAAAUGCCAUCUGGCACGACCUCAUAGUCCAGUGUGCCAAAAUGUCAGUUGAUCUUGUAUGGUCCGAAAUAGCAUCGUAACAGGUUCUCAGUAAGUGCUUGUCGGCAUAUCAGAGUCCAGAUCCAAACACAGUCGCUGGGCUGGUAAUCCACCUUGCCUCGGUGAAGAGUGUAGUACCGGCUGUCAAUUCUCUGCUGGUUCAUGAUACCCAUGCGGGCGAGCUGUCGGACUUCUUUGGCGCACUGGAGAUGAGCACCGACGUCGAGAGUCAUUGCGUUCCUCCCGUACACCAGCUUGAACGCCGUGAUUUUUGUUGUUUCUUGCACUGCCAUGUUAUAAACAAAAGUUACGUACAGCAGGACGACAUCCCACAUCUUAUGCUUGACGUCGCCAUACGUUGCAAGCAUAUUGGCAAGGGUCUUCAUCAGCUGCUUUGUAAGACAAUUCGUCUGUAGGUGGUAGGCAGUUGCUCUCCUGUGGCUUGUCUGGCUGCAUUGCAAAAUGGCUUGGAUAAGCUCUGCAGUAAAGGCCGUUCCUCUGUCGGUGAUGAGGAUUUCUGGGGCACCAUGUUGCUGCAGGAUGUUUUCGAGGAAGAAUUUAGAAACUUCGGCCGCACUACCUUCAGGCAAAGCUUUCAUUUCGGCAUAGCUGGUAAGGUAGUCGGUAGCCACGAUGAUCCAUUUAUUUCCAGAUGUUGUCGUUUGAAGGUCCCAACAAAUCCAUCUCAAUCUGCUGAAAUGGUUGCAAGGAGGCUCAAUUGGUUGUAGUAAUUCCACUGGCUUUGUAGGUGGUGCCUUGCAUCGCUGACCGUCUCAGCGUGUCUUGACAUAAUGGGCAACGUUGGUGGUCAGUAAUACCUUUCCUGUGUCCUUCAUAGCAUCUGGGAGAAUCCGGAGUGCCAGGCAGUCGGAUCGUCAUGUAGGGCAUGCAGUACUUCUGGACGCAGUACUGAGGGAACAACAAGAAGGUAGUUGGUGCCAACUGGUGAGAAGUUUAUUACUCAGAUCUUGUUUUGAAGCAAAAACGAAGACAAUCGUCGCCUAAAUGCCCUAGGGACAAUGUCAGUGUUGCCUUCCAAAUACUCGACGAGGCUCUUUAGCAUCAGGUCUGCUCUUUGCUGUUAAGUGAAGUUUUCCACACCUAUUGUUCCUAGGAAGGCGUCGUCAUCCUCCUCGUCUUGCAGUGGCGGGUCAAUGGGGGCUUGUGAUAGGCAGUCGGCAUUAGAGUGCUUCCGUACCAAUUUUUAGUUGAUGGUGACGUCAAAUUCCUGGAGCCUCAGACUCCAUCGUGCGAGGCAUUCUGAAGGGUCCUUUAAAUUUGCCAGCCAACACAAGGCAUGGUGGUCGCUUAUGACAUUGAAGGGCUUGCCAUAUAGGUAAGGGCAGAAUUGCGUGGUAGCCCAAAUGAUUGCAAGGCAUUCUUUUUCCAUAGAAGAAUCGGCUUCUACUUUCGACAGCAACUGACUAACGUAAGCAAUGACCUCUUCAAAUCUGUCUUUCCUUUGGACUAGGAUAGCGCCGAGGCCUAGGCUACUUACGUUGGUGUGGAUUUCGGUGUUGGCGUCUUCGUCGCAGUGGGUGAGCACUGGUAGUUACUGCAGCCACUGUUUAAAGGAACAUGAAUAGAGAUAACCCUGCUGAUGGAAAGACUGCUUAUCAUAGUGGCUAAAACGAGCCAUGGUUUUCUCAUUAAACAUGUACUUAUAUUUUUAAUUCUUCACUAAAAGUCAUGAAAGAUGACCAUUGGUGCCCCAUGCGGCAAAAACAUGAAGCUGCACAAGAAGCCCAUCACAUGACUUUCUAUUAAUGUAUGCAGUUCCUGGCCUUUUUGUUAGUAUUGAAAUGCAGUACACUUUUUCCUGUUAAAGAUUUUUCUAACUUACAAUGUGCAGAUAGGCCUUUGUUUGUUGCGAGUUGAAAAGGGGCGCUGCCUUCGUUUUCAGUAAGUUCGUUUGGCUCGUCUAUCAACAGAAUGAUGAUGGGGGUACUGUGUACUAGAAUAAGGCAGUGAAGCAACUGUCAUAGGCUGUGCCUUGACAGAGCUGUCACGGUAGGCGGCGACUGUAGCAGCGGCGUUGCUGUUGCUGACUACACUAUGCCUCUUGAAAACACGUGAGAUUUGGCGUAGGCAAGCUGUUUCGGCUGCGUGUUCCUUUAUUUUGUGCGUGUUUUGCAAAACAGCUUGUCUAUAAAUGGUGACACCUUGCUUCAGCAAUGGGUAAGCAAAUGCUUACCCAUGUAAACAACUUUGAAAGAAUGAGUGGGUUAUGCUUUUCAGCCUCUGGACAGUGUCCUCUGUUAGCAUUCAUUCUUUAUCGGAUGCGACUGGAGAGAAGCUGUGGCAGCAUAGAAGCUACUGCCAAAUUUUUCUCAAGAAUGAAGUUGCUGAUUGCUCUGAAGAUGUCUAGGUUUACAGCUGAAGCUCUGACGUCCAAUUCUAACAGUGUACAAAAGAUCCAAGAUAUGCUUGAAUUUCUGAACACAUGGGAGCAUCACACUGACAAGGCAUUUUCUCAGUGACUCAAGAGCAGAAGGAUUAAGGGUAAGACUGACAAGUAUGCUCGAGCUUCUUGACUACUAGUACAAAAAGGUCGGAUUCAAAUAUUUGGUAACUUCAAGGGUUAGCCAGGAUAAAGAUGAGAACUUUUUUGCUAUAUAGUGAGACUUUCGUUGGGCUGCAACAGUCAUCCAAUGCUGCAUCAGUUUUUACUGUCUGUUCAUUGUCUUUUUUAGAACUUGGCACAAAGCGUCACAGGCAGCAAUGUAAAGGAUGAUGUGGUCAACCCUCUUCUUGAGGCAACGGACAGAGAAAAGGUACCACUAAGGGAAAGUUUUUGGAGACAGUGAAGUUGUAUACAGAGGAAAAUACAGAGGUUCUGACCACACCUUUGCCAGCAGAAACUGAUGAAUUAACACCUGUAUCGUGAAGAGAAGCAAGUCAAAAUUAUAUUACAUUUCAGGCUAUGUAGUAGCAAAAAAAGUGCAUGCUGCUGACCAAAUGUCCCAAUUGCAUUGGCCGCCUCUUGCUCUCAACUGCGCAAGGGCGCUUGUUGGCUGCUUCUGCAUUUGUGCAGUUCAAAGAUCAGGGUGACUCGUUGAACCCUUUAGUUGAAUUUUCACAUUCAUUACACACCUAGAGGAUAUUUUUAGAAGUUGUUUCUCUACUAAUAAGGUAAGGUACACAGUAAGAGUAAGGAUAUCUUGGAGAUGAUUCAUACCUGUGCAACACUGGCACAGAAAAUGGCAUUAACUUCCUAAUGCCUUAAGAUUUAUAGUCAUCUGCAUGGUUGCCACACAUGUAAAUCUGAUGGCAUUCGCCUUCAUUCCAUUCCUCACUGAAGGCGUUCACCCGAACUUAUUCAACUGGGAAAUGCAUACUCUCGACGCCAUAGCUUGCUCAGUGCGGUUUACUUCAAUUAUUUCAAACAGCAUCCUACUUAGCUGGUAACAACUAUUUCAGGUGUUUAAGCCAUACAGCACACACAAAUGCAUCAGGCUUUAUAUAAUGCGAAAAAAAAAAAUUGGAGGUGAUGCUGCUGCAAGUGCAGUUGUGUUAAAAGGUAGGCAGCAAGCAUACAUGAACGAUUUCAUUGCCAUCGUGCUUCGUCAGUUGCAACGUUGUAAAGCUAGUGGCACCAUAGUAUGCUUAUUUCUACAUUUCAGUAUCCUUUAAGGCGGCUUAAAGUUGUAAAUACAUGUUUACCUUUUUAUUAUUGCCUUAAAAUUGCUCACUUCAGAAGACACCAUUAUCGACAUCAUCAGGUCAAAUGUUAUUAAAUUUGGAUCUGUAACAGCUCUGCUGAAAAAAAUUAUAUUCAGGUGCUUAAGGCCUUUACUACUGAAUGCCAUUUUCUGUGCCUAUGUCACAUGGGUAUCAUUCUGCUAUGCCCUUAAUUAUAUUUUUUGCAAAGCACAUACAGAAUGCUUGACACCCUGUGUUAUUGGCUCUUAUGUCACAACCAGGCCCCACUUUUUUUAUAAGAGGGCUGAACAAGGCCAACACCUCCAAGCGGUAGUUAUCUAAGCACUUGAAGUUAAGCAGGCUGAAUGGAACGCAUGUUAAACCAUUAAUUUGACUGGCAUACCAGCAUCCCUGAGUGAUAUAGCUGCAGCUUAACAUUUGCAUUGUGUGUACGUCACAGUUGUUUAUCUGUAUGGUGAAUUUCUUUAAAUCAUUCAGUGGGUUUUGCUUUUCAUAUAUUUAUACUUAUUUAACCAUGGCAUUGCAUGCAACAUGUUCACUUCGGUUGUGCAUUUCUGUGUUAUAUUCUUGAUUUUGUCAUGCCAUGGAAAACUUUUAAUGUGGCUCUCAUAUUAUUUUAUACUUGUGUAUUUAACUUCUGUGCACUGUCUUGAUCUGGAGCAUUUUGUUGUG